ensembl:lncRNA
CUGCCAAUAUUAUUCAUAGGCUGUCACUAAUGUUUUCAUAUGCCAGUUUCUGCUCACAGUCACUCAGAGUUCCUGGCACGUCAUCACUGGCCAAGUGUUAAUUUUUUUCCUCAGUGGACGACCAUCACUGCAUCAGAACAGAGAAAAAGAGCAAGCGCGGUCGAUCAGUGCUAAUUAUGCCCAAGAAAUAAGGAACGGCUUUUGUUUUCUCCUUAGAGAAGAAUCAAUGAAGAGAAAAAUAAGGCAGUAAAAUGGUAAACACUGGCCAUUUUGAACAGGGUUUCCCCAGGACUCGCACGAGAGCUCUUAAUGAGUCUUCCACCCAUCAUAGCAACAUGCAGCAUCCUAUCAAGUGCCUCCCAAGUGAAAAAGGCCAAAUAAGAAAGCAGGCACCUGG